rnacentral:rRNA from 1 species
AUAAUGGGUCAGCGACUUAUAUUCUGUAGCAAGGUUAACCGAAUAGGGGAGCCGAAGGGAAACCGAGUCUUAACUGGGCGUUAAGUUGCAGGGUAUAGACCCGAAACCCGGUGAUCUAGCCAUGGGCAGGUUGAAGGUUGGGUAACACUAACUGGAGGACCGAACCGACUAAUGUUGAAAAAUUAGCGGAUGACUUGUGGCUGGGGGUGAAAGGCCAAUCAAACCGGGAGAUAGCUGGUUCUCCCCGAAAGCUAUUUAGGUAGCGCCUCGUGAAUUCAUCUCCGGGGGUAGAGCACUGUUUCGGCAAGGGGGUCAUCCCGACUUACCAACCCGAUGCAAACUGCGAAUACCGGAGAAUGUUAUCACGGGAGACACACGGCGGGUGCUAACGUCCGUCGUGAAGAGGGAAACAACCCAGACCGCCAGCUAAGGUCCCAAAGUCAUGGUUAAGUGGGAAACGAUGUGGGAAGGCCCAGACAGCCAGGAUGUUGGCUUAGAAGCAGCCAUCAUUUAAAGAAAGCGUAAUAGCUCACUGGUCGAGUCGGCCUGCGCGGAAGAUGUAACGGGGCUAAACCAUGCACCGAAGCUGCGGCAGCGACGCUUAUGCGUUGUUGGGUAGGGGAGCGUUCUGUAAGCCUGUGAAGGUGUGCUGUGAGGCAUGCUGGAGGUAUCAGAAGUGCGAAUGCUGACAUAAGUAACGAUAAAGCGGGUGAAAAGCCCGCUCGCCGGAAGACCAAGGGUUCCUGUCCAACGUUAAUCGGGGCAGGGUGAGUCGACCCCUAAGGCGAGGCCGAAAGGCGUAGUCGAUGGGAAACAGGUUAAUAUUCCUGUACUUGGUGUUACUGCGAAGGGGGGACGGAGAAGGCUAUGUUGGCCGGGCGACGGUUGUCCCGGUUUAAGCGUGUAGGCUGGUUUUCCAGGCAAAUCCGGAAAAUCAAGGCUGAGGCGUGAUGACGAGGCACUACGGUGCUGAAGCAACAAAUGCCCUGCUUCCAGGAAAAGCCUCUAAGCAUCAGGUAACAUCAAAUCGUACCCCAAACCGACACAGGUGGUC